AGGGCAAACUGCCAAAUUGCUGCUUAGGAAACGAAGUACCCCGGGCUCGACACCGCUGUAAGGACGUAACCUUGAGAAGGGACAGCAUUCAAUAACCCUGGCUUCAGAUGCCUUCUUGAAUGUCUCAUUCUCCUGAACAAGGGCAGUGGUGACAGAUCUCAUCUCUGGUGGCGAGAGAGGAAGCAAGGAGAGAUCUCCUUCUGAUGGCUCUUACAUGGGAACCCUAAAGGAGAAGAGUAUUCUGGUUCAGAUAAGAAGCAAGUUUUGAAAUACCAGCGUGUUCUGCAAGCUUAAAAUUCUGGAGUGUGACUCAAGUCAGUGGUGAUCCAGAACA